AUAUCAGUCAUGCAUAGCAUAUCAAUAAGCGGAGGAAAAGAAACUAACAAGGAUUCCCUUAGUAACGGCGAGUGAAGCGGGAAGAGCUCAAAUUUGAAAUCUUCAAGGUUCUACCUUGACGAAUUGUAGUUUAUAGAAGUGUUUUCUGUUAGUAGAGUGGCAAAAGUUCUUUGGAAUAGGACAUCAUAGAGGGUGAGAAUCCCGUAUUUGGUCAUUCUUUCUAGCUUUGUGAUACACUUUCAACGAGUCGGAUUGUUUGGGAAUGCAGUCCAAAAUGGGUGGUAAAUUUCAUCUAAAGCUAAAUAUUGGCGAGAGACCGAUAGCGAACAAGUACCGUGAGGGAAAGAUGAAAAGAACUUUGAAAAGAGAGUUAAACAGUAGCGUGAAAUUGUCAAAAGGGAAGCGUUUGACACCAGUGUUGUUUAGUUGAAAAUCAAUUAAAUAUUUUUCGAUUUUAAGUAGUAUUGACCUUAUCAGCUUGCUGCUUUUUUUCUCGGAAAUUAUUUAAUGCACUUUUCAGUUAACAAGUCAACAUCAAUUUCUUUUGUUGUAAAAGGGUAAGAGGAAGGUGGCUUGCGCUUCGGCUCAAGUGUUUAUAGCCUUUUACCCUCUGCAAUCGGAGAGAUUGAGGAUCUGCAGCGUAGGAUCCUUCGGGGUUAGAUACGUUUGUGCUAAGCUAUAGCCUUGUAUAGACAACUUGUUGACUAUACUCAGUCAUGUAGCUUACUCGCUUAUGUCUAUUUUACCUACGCUUAGGAUGUUGAUGUGAUACUGCGAGCA
rnacentral:rRNA from 1 species